rnacentral:rRNA from 1 species
AAUCAACGCUGGCGGCGUGCCUCAGACAUGCAAGUCGAACGAUUAAAGCUCUCUUCGGAGAGUGCAUAGAGUGGCGCACGGGUGAGUAACACGUAAGUAAUCUACCCUCGAGUGGGGAAUAACGUCCGGAAACGGGCGCUAAUACCGCAUAAUGCAGCGGCAUCAUAAGAUGACAGUUGUUAAAGAUUUAUCGCUUGAGGAGGAGCUUGCGGCAGAUUAGCUAGUUGGUAAGGUAACGGCUUACCAAGGCUACGAUCUGUAACCGGUCUUCGAGGACGGUCGGUCACACUGACACUGAAUGACGGGUCAGACUCCUACGGGAGGCAGCAGUCGGGAAUUUUGGGCAAUGGGCGAAAGCCUGACCCAGCAACGCCGCGUGAAGGAUGAAGUAUUUCGGUAUGUAAACUUCGAAAGAAUAGGAAGAAUUAAUGACGGUACUAUUUAUAAGGUCCGGCUAACUACGUGCCAGCAGCCGCAGUAAUAC